GACGAACGCUGGCGGCGUGCUUAACACAUGCAAGUCGAACGGAAAGGCCCUGCUUUUGUGGGGUGCUCGAGUGGCGAACGGGUGAGUAACACGUGAGUAACCUGCCCUUGACUUUGGGAUAACUUCAGGAAACUGGGGCUAAUACCGGAUAGGAGCUCCUGCUGCAUGGUGGGGGUUGGAAAGUUUCGGCGGUUGGGGAUGGACUCGCGGCUUAUCAGCUUGUUGGUGGGGUAGUGGCUUACCAAGGCUUUGACGGGUAGCCGGCCUGAGAGGGUGGCCGGCCACAUUGGGACUGAGAUACGGCCCAGACUCCUACGGGAGGCAGCAGUGGGGAAUAUUGCACAAUGGGCGGAAGCCUGAUGCAGCAACGCCGCGUACGGGAUGACGGCCUUCGGGUUGUAAACCGCUUUCGCCUGUGACGAAGCGUGAGUGACGGUAAUGGGUAAAGAAGCACCGGCUAACUACGUG
rnacentral:rRNA from 1 species